AUGCCAAGGAUGAUGGGAAGCCUGACCUUGUUUUUCGGCUUGUAGGGAACUCCACCCGCAAUCCAGUCUGGCCUGAGCAUUUUGCUCCGGCACCUGAAAACAGCUGAGCCCAGGAGGUUCCAGACCCUGGAUACCUGAGACACAUCGACUUGCUUCUUAGGUUUGGAGUGCAUAAUGAGGAGAAAUAAAAAUAGAAAGAUCUCCAGAAAGAAGCCAUGGGAAGAUUCAAGGCUUCCCAGUCCAAGCUAAUACCUGUGGACACUUGACCAAGUGAGCUGAGAAAACUGGAUUCCUGGCAAAACAAGCGUAACUAGACUCAGGCAAGCGUUCAGAAUCAAGCUCAGAAGCUCCCAGCUCCCAGCAAGUACUCUACUACUGAACUACACCAUCUCUCCAGCCCAUGCUUACUCUUGAAUAGCCACAAAGUAUUCAAUGGUAUGGAAAAUAGACCUCCAUUUCAUUUAAACUUUUAUAGUAUUUUUUUGCCACUUAAAUUAUUUUAUGUAGUUGAGUAUGAUUUUUUUUUUCGAAGAAAUUCUAUGUAUCUCAAUUUAGAGUCUUCAACCUUUCUGUUAUACAUAAUUUCCUGUAGUUUUCAGUUGCUUUAAUA